rnacentral:rRNA from 10 species
CUUGGUGUGAAUUGCAGAAUCCCGUGAACCAUCGAGUUUUUGAACGCAAGUUGCGCCCAAAGCCAUUAGGCUAAGGGCACGUCUGCCUGGGCGUCACGC